GACGAACGCUGGCGGCGUGCUUAACACAUGCAAGUCGAGCGGUAAGGCCCUUUCGGGGGUACACGAGCGGCGAACGGGUGAGUAACACGUGGGCGACCUACCCUCAGCUUCGGGAUAAGCCUGGGAAACUGGGUCUAAUACCGGAUAUGACCUUCCCUCGCAUGGGGGUUGGUGGAAAGUUUUUUCGGCUGGGGAUGGGCCCGCGGCCUAUCAGCUUGUUGGUGGGGUGAUGGCCUACCAAGGCGACGACGGGAGCCGGCCUGAGAGGGCGACCGGCCACACUGGGACUGAGAUACGGCCCAGACUCCUACGGGAGGCAGCAGUGGGGAAUAUUGCGCAAUGGGCGGAAGCCUGACGCAGCGACGCCGCGUGGGGGAU
rnacentral:rRNA from 1 species